ACGGGAGGCAGCAGUGAGGGAUAUUGCACAAUGGGCGAAAGCCUGAUGCAGCAACGCCGCGUGAGGGAUGACGGUUUUCGGAUUGUAAACCUCUGUCUUUGGUGAUGAUAAUGACAUUAGCCGAGGAGGAAGCCACGGCUAACUACGUGCCAGCAGCCGCGGUAAUACGUAGGUGGCGAGCGUUGUCCGGAAUUACUGGGUGUAAAGGGAGCGCAGGCGGGAAAGCAAGUCAGCGGUGAAAUGUAUGGGCUUAACCCAUGAACUGCCGUUGAAACUGUUUUUCUUGAGUGGAGUAGAGGUAGGCGGAAUUCCGAGUGUAGCGGUGAAAUGCGUAGAUAUUCGGAGGAACACCAGUGGCGAAGGCGGCUUACUGGGCUCUAACUGACGCUGAGGCUCGAAAGUGUGGGGAGCAAACAGGAUUAGAUACCCUGGUA
rnacentral:rRNA from 1 species